GGCACCGGCGCGAGCGCGCGUGGAGGCGGCACUCGGGAGGCAGCGAUCCGAGCUGCAGGCCCUCAAGGGUCCCUCAGGAGUGCGCGACAGGGGCCGGUGGCUCCCGCGCUAUUGCAGAGUGCUCCGCAUGCUGCCAUGUCCCCAUCAUGGCUGAAGGCAGAGGCAGCAGCACAGAGGAGCCUGGAGACAGGAAGACUGAAGGUCCCCUGGAGUCCCUCUGGAUCCUGCACAGAAAGAGGACACUAGGAGCUAACGAAAUUCUUUGUGCACAGCCUGAGGAGUUGGCUUUCUGAGCCUUGGAGCUGCUGGUGUGGGACUCUGGUGUUUUUCCUGCCUUCCUGGGCUCCAAGACAUCCUAAGGAGAAAACCCCAUGCUCAGACACUUAGGCAGGACAGUUCCAGGACACUGGGAUUAAGCGGUGGUACCCGGCAGUUUCCUCAGACAGGUCGGGGCACUGCAUCCACUGCUGCUGUUAACCCGGGAGGUCCAGCGCCUGGCUCCUGGGGGUCCAGCUUGGCUGCCUUUUCCUAGGCCCCCCUCAGGCCUUGGCUCUUACAAUAGACUGCCACUUCUGGGA
rnacentral:lncRNA from 1 species